AGAGGACCCCGGAUGGAGAGGCGGCGCGCGGCGGUCCGUCGGCCCUUUGGAAUAAGCUGCCCUGGGAGGGUUUCCUCCUUGCAGUUCCUGCUCUCGCGCUAAUGCGGUGCGGGAAGAGGAACAGUACCCCUCAGAUGCCCAGCUUUAGACCUACCAGGUUUGGUUAUAUGCCUGAAAGCUGGACUGGAUCCUAAAUUCUUCUAAUUUCCUUAAAUGGCUGUGAUGAGCCAAACUGAAAUUUCCAAUUUUACUGCCCUUGAAAUCUCCUUGGAAGGGACUAUAUCGAGUCUUCCUCACUACCCUGGUGGCAGCCAAACUUGAGAGACUUGAGCCUUUGGUACACACCUCACAGAUAAAGAAGGCUCCACCUGUCAUGAAAUCCUGUACAAAUGCUGGAGAUCUCCAAAUCAAAUUGACUAGGAAGAGAAGCAGUGACAUCUGAGGCAGACAGCUUUCCAAGAUGACUGGAGCAGGCCUGUAUUCCCUUUCUCACUGUUGCUUCUUCUCAUUAUCUCUUUGGAAAGACAAUGUUCUUGUCUGCAUUUCCCAAACCCUUGUGAAAAUGGGAAAGCUCUUUUGAUUAUUGCCUUUUGGAAACAGCCUUAUCAUGAUCCUGUGACAAAUUAAUCUUUUCAGUUGCUUUUUAUGAAGGGUUAGAAAGUUCAGAAUUCACAGAAGUCUUUCUUUCAUCUGGCCUAUUAAAUGACUCUGGGUUCUUAUCCAAAUUCAAGGUCUCCAAAUUUGCAACCCUACAGGCUGUAUUAUUGGAUAACACAUUUGGUUCCCGAACAGUUUUAUUGAGAUAACAAGACUGUUUUAAUAUGUCUUGAAGUUUUUGCUAUUUUUGCAAAGAGUUCAUCACCUAUGGCUUCAUAUUUAUUCCUGCACUGUGUCUUCCCAAUGCACUUAGUUAAUUCUUUCAGUCUGAGUGUGCUCUUACUGUAUUUGUCGUUCUAUUUUCUCUUCAUAACAAAUCAGACGCCUCUCAUUGGUCCACCCCACUAAGCCUCUGUUUAGCUGGUUAACCUCAGGUUUGGGCUCCUAGUUUACAACUUGGAAUUGUCAUGUCACUUUUAAUUCUGUUUUGUAUAAUUAUUUUGUUUUGUAUUUUUUAAAAUGUUGUUGUUUUGCUGGGAAAGAUUGGCCCUGAGCUAACAUCUGUUGCCAAUCUUCCUCUCUUUUGUUUUCUCCCCAAAGUCCCAGUACACAGUUGUAAGUCCUUCUAGUUCUUCUAUGUGAGCUUCCACCACAGCAUGACUACUGACAGGAGAGUGAUGUGUUCUGCGCCUGGGAACUGAACCAGGGCCGCAGAAGCAGAGCACACCAAGCUUUAACCCCUAGGCUGUCAGGGCUGGCUCUUAAGUUUUUUAUUUUCUUGCCUGUCAAAUCUUUGUAAACAUGAUGUACACAAUAAGGUGAUGUUAGCUCAACAAUUUGAAAUAAUUUCCUAUGCUUAUGACCUCAGACAACUAUAGACUUUGAAUAACAGGUGCCUGAGAGCUCUCCCUCCUAACCUUCCUUGUUACUCAAAUGUGGCCUAAAUGAUUUCCAACUACUGUGCACUUUCCCUCCAGUGUGGGACACGACAACCGUGAAAGGUCCUUCCUGGCACUGAGGGACAAACCACUAAAUGCAGAAAUCCUGACUCUUGAUUAGCAAUGCUUUUGGAGAAAGAUCUUGAUCAAAGGGGAAAAAUGUGAAAAUUAAUAAAGAGAAACUUCAUUUAAAAUGGAGUUGGGGGCCAGCCCAGGGGUGUAGUGGUUGGGUUCCUGUGUUCCACUUCGGCGGCCCAGGGUUCAUGGGUUUGGAUCCUGAGCGUGGACCUGCACGCUGCUCAUUAAGUCACGCUGCAGCAGCAUCACACAUACAAAACAGAGAAAGACGGGUACAGAUGUUAGCUCAGUGUCAAUCUUCCUCAAGCAAAAAGAGAAGGAUUGGCAAUGGGUAUUAGCCUAGGGCCAACCUUCCUCAAAAAAAAAAAAAAAAAAGGAGUCAGGAGGCUGGAUAGGGGAUCUCUCACACAGUACCUCUCAAGGUCAGUUACAAGAAAGAUAGUCAAUUACAGACCCCAACAGAAAAAAGUCAUCAACAGGA
ensembl:lncRNA